AGCGAGGAGGCCGUGGAGGGCGGAGGAGCGGCGGUGGACCCGGGCGGCGGAGGGCUGUAGUAGUAGAACGGGAAAUACGGCACAAUCGGGUUCGGCGGUGGUGGUCUCGGGUAGUUUCCGUUGCUGGGAGGAGGGUAGUAGUAGAUUCCUCCGCCACCACCGCCGCCGGUGGAUGCGGGAGGAGGUGGUGAGGAGUAGGUAUAUUGAGAGGGUGGAGGCGGGGAGUAGUAGUACGGAGCUCCUCCGCCGCCGCCGCCGGAGGAAGGAGGAGAGGGUGGUGGAGGACAGUUGUUUGUGGAAGGAGAUGGUGGUGGUGGUGAAGGUGGUGGCGGAGAUGGAACUUGGUUGCAAGGGUUGUUACAAGAGGAACACAUUGUGCACUGGAUCUGCGCGUGUGACGUGGCUUUUAG
rnacentral:lncRNA from 1 species